GCCCAUGUAGCUCAGUUGGCAGAGUACAUCCUUGGUAAGGAUGAGGUCACCGGUUCAAUCCCGGUCAUGGGCUCCA
rnacentral:tRNA from 1 species